rnacentral:rRNA from 1 species
CGGGACGGGUGAGUAACGCGUGGGCAACCUGCCUCAUACAGGGGGAUAGCAUCGGGAAACUGGUGGUAAAACCGCAUAAGCGCACGGGAACGCAUGUUUUUGUGUGAAAAGGAGAAAUCUGGUAUGAGAUGGACCCGCGUCUGAUUAGCUAGUUGGAGUGGUAAAAGCACACCAAGGCAACGAUCAGUAGCCGGCCUGAGAGGGUGGACGGCCACAUUGGGACUGAGACACGGCCCAGACUCCUACGGGAGGCAGCAG